AGAACGAACGCUGGCGGCAUGCCUAACACAUGCAAGUCGAACGUGAUCCAGGCUUCGGCCUGGUGAAAGUGGCAGACGGGUGAGUAACGCGUGGGAACCUGCCCUGUGGUAGGGAAUAACCGUGGGAAACUGCGGCUAAUACCCUAUGAGUCCUUCGGGAGAAAGAUUUAUCGCCAUAGGAGGGGCCCGCGUCGGAUUAGGUAGUUGGUGGGGUAACGGCCUACCAAGCCUUCGAUCCGUAGCUGGUCUGAGAGGAUGAUCAGCCACACUGGGACUGAGAUACGGCCCAGACUCCUACGGGAGGCAGCAGUGGGGAAUAUUGGACAAUGGGGGCAACCCUGAUCCAGCAAUGCCGCGUGGAUGAUGAAGGCCUUCGGGUUGUAAAGUCCUUUCGGCGGGGAAGAUGAUGACGGUACCGCAGAAGAGCCCCGGCUAACUUCGCGCCAGCAGCCGC
rnacentral:rRNA from 1 species